rnacentral:misc_RNA from 1 species
AGCAGCCGCGGUAAUUCCAGCUCCAAUAGCGUAUAUUAAAGUUGUUGCAGUUAAAAAGCUCGUAGUUGAAUUUCGAGACCGGUUUAUUGGUCGUGCUUUUGUACGUACUGGUAUUAUUGGUUUCUCCUUUCUGACGAAUUCUUAAAUGCCAUUAAUUUGGUGUUUUGGGGAAUCAGGACUGUUACUUUGAAAAAAUUGAGUGUUUAAAGCAGGCUCACGCUUGAAUACAUUAGCAUGGAAUAACGGAAUAGGACGUUUGAUUCUAUUUUGUGGUUUCUAGGAUCGCCGUAAUGAUUAAUAGGGAUAGUUGGGGGCAUUAGUAUUCAAUUGUCAGAGGUGAAAUUCUUGGAUUUAUUGAAGACUAACUACUGCGAAAGCAUUUGCCAAGGAUGUUUUCAUUAAUCUAAGACGAAAGUUAGGGGAAUCGAAGACGAUCAGAUACCGUCGUAGUCUUAACCAUAAACUAUGCCGACUAGGGAUCGGAUGAUGUUAAUUUUAUGACUCAUCCGGCGCCUUACGG